GUAGGUGGCUAAGCGUUGUCCGGAAUUAUUGGGGCGUAAAGCGCGCGCAGGUGGGUUCUUUAAGUCUGAUGUGAAAGCCCCCGGGCUCAACCGGGGAGGGUCAUUGGAAACUGGGGAACUUGAGUGCAGGAGAGGAAAGUGGAAUUCCACGUGUAGCGGUGAAAUGCGUAGAUAUGUGGAGGAACACCAGUGGCGAAGGCGACUUUCUGGCCUGUAACUGACACUGAGGCGCGAAAGCGUGGGGAGCAAACAGGAUUAGAUACCCUGGUAGUCCACGCCGUAAACGAUGAGUGCUAAGUGUUGGGGGGUUUCCGCCCCUCAGUGCUGCAGCUAACGCAUUAAGCACUCCGCCUGGGGAGUACGGCCGCCAAAGACUG
rnacentral:rRNA from 1 species